GAUGAACGCUGGCGGCGUGCCUAAUACUUGCAAGUCGAGCGAACAGACGAGGAGCUUGCUCCUUUGACGUUAGCGGCGGACGGGUGAGUAACACGUGGGUAACCUACCUAUAAGACUGGGAUAACUUCGGGAAACCGGAGCUAAUACCGGAUAAUAUUUCGAACCGCAUGGUUCGAUAGUGAAAGAUGGCUCUGCUAUCACUUAUAGAUGGACCUGCGCCGUAUUAGCUAGUUGGUAAGGUAACGGCUUACCAAGGCAACGAUACGUAGCCGACCUGAGAGGGUGAUCGGCCACACUGGAACUGAGACACGGUCCAGACUCCUACGGGAGGCAGCAGUAGGGAAUCUUCCGCAAUGGGCGAAAGCCUAACGGAGCAACGCCGCGUGAGUGAUGAAGGUCUUCGGAUCGUAAAACUCUGUUAUUAGGGAAGAACAAACGUGUAAGUAACUGUGCACGUCUUGACGGUACCUAAUCAGAAAGCCACGGCUAACUACGUGCCAGCAGCCGCAGUAA
rnacentral:rRNA from 1 species